rnacentral:rRNA from 1 species
AACGAACGCUGGCGGCAGGCCUAACACAUGCAAGUCGAGCGCCCAGCAAUGGGAGCGGCAGACGGGUGAGUAACACGUGGGAACCUUCCCUAUAGUACGGAAUAGCCCAGGGAAACUUGGAGUAAUACCGCAUACGCCCGAGAGGGAAAGAUUUAUCGCUAUAGGAUGGGCCCGCGUAGGAUUAGCUAGUUGGUGAGGUAAUGGCUCACCAAGGCGACGAUCCUUAGCUGGCCUGAGAGGACGACCAGCCACACUGGGACUGAGACACGGCCCAGACUCCUACGGGAGGCAGCAGUGGGGAAUAUUGGACAAUGGGCGCAAGCCUGAUCCAGCCAUGCCGCGUGAGUGAUGAAGGCCUUAGGGUUGUAAAGCUCUUUUGCCGGGGACGAUAAUGACGGUACCCGGAGAAUAAGUCCCCGGCUAACUUCGUGCCAGCAGCCGCGGU